UGCAGUCGAACGGUGAUAUUUAUAUCAUAGUGGCGCACGGGUGCGUAACACGUAUGCAACCUACCUAUUAUUGGGGGAUAGCCUUUGGAAACGGAGAUUAAUACCGCAUAAUACGAUUAACUGGCAUCGGUUGAUUGUUAAAGCAUUUGCGAUAAUAGAUGGGCAUGCGUCCAAUUAGUUAGUUGGUGUGGUAAUGGCUCACCAAGACGAUGAUUGGUAGGGGAUCUGAGAGGAUAAUCCCCCACACUGGCACUGAGAUACGGGCCAGACUCCUACAGGAGGCAGCAGUAGGGAAUAUUGGGCAAUGGGCGAAAGCCUGACCCAGCCAUGCCGCGUGCAGGAAGACGGCGUUAUGCGUUGUAAACUGCUUUUUUAUAGGAAGAAGGAUCCCUUGCGAGGGAAGGUGACGGUACUAUAAGAAUAAGCACCGGCUAACUCCGUGCCAGCAGCCGCGGUAAUACGGAGGGUGCAAGCGUUGUCCGGAUUUAUUGGGUUUAAAGGGUGCGUAGGCGGUUUACUAAGUCAGUGGUGAAAGACGGUCGCUCAACGAUUGCAGUGCCAUUGAUACUGGUAGACUUGAGUGAGAUUGAGGUAGCUGGAAUGGAUAGUGUAGCGGUGAAACGCAUAGAUAUUAUCCAGAACACCGAUUGCGAAGGCAGGUUACUAUGUCUUAACUGACGCUGAGGCACGAAAGUGUGGGGAUCAAACAGGAUUAGAUACCCUGGUAGUCCACACUGUAAACGAUGAUGACUAACUGUUGGCUUUUGGGUCAGUG
rnacentral:rRNA from 1 species